rnacentral:rRNA from 1 species
AGUGAACGCUGGCGGUAGGCCUAACACAUGCAAGUCGAACGGCAGCACAGUAAGAGCUUGCUCUUACGGGUGGCGAGUGGCGGACGGGUGAGGAAUACAUCGGAAUCUACUUUUUCGUGGGGGAUACCGUAGGGAACCUUACGCUAAUACCGCAUACGCCCUACGGGUGAAAGCAGGGGAUCUUCGGACCUUGCGCGAUUGAAUGAGCCGAUGUCGGAUUAGCUAGUUGGCGGGGUAAAGGCCCACCAAGGCGCCGAUCCGUAGCUGGUCUGAGAGGAUGAUCAGCCACACUGGAACUGAGACACGGUCCAGACUCCUACGGGAGGCAGCAGUGGGGAAUAUUGGACAAUGGGCGCAAGCCUGAUCCAGCCAUACCGCGUGGGUGAAGAAGGCCUUCGGGUUGUAAAGCCCUUUUGUUGGGAAAGAAAAGCAGCAGGUUAAUACCCCGCUGUUCUGACGGUACCCAAAGAAUAAGCACCGGCUAACUUCGUG